rnacentral:lncRNA from 1 species
AGGUUUAAAUUAAAAGAAAAUUUAUGUUUCCAGAGUUGUGAUUAAUCAUAAUUCAGUUGUUAAACAGAUGAAAUUCACGGCUGUUUCAGAUUGUUGUCAAUAGUUUACAUAAACAAUCUCAAAGAGUUGAUUUCUGCUUUUACACCUGCUAAUGCCGUCAUGAGUACUCAAAAUUUUAGGAAGUUCUAUUGCUUUGAUUGAUCACUAUGGAAAAUUUCUAGUCAAAUGUGAAAAGUCAAGACAGAUGUGACAGUUCUGGCCAUAACGCAAAAUACUGCACCUAUACAUUUAUAGAAUAUGUUAUAAAAAAGGCGAUAAUCGGAAAAAAAAAAGAAAAAGUAAAAAACGAGUAAUGGCUCCAAUACCAACUGAGACUAAAACUGAAAUUAUUGAAAGAACGAAAAAGUAUGGUAGAUUUUAAAAUUUAAACAGUAAAGUCAAGAGCUGCCAAAUACACAAUCGCAGCCAAAAUACACCAAACAAACUCAAAAACAUCUAUUUUCAAGAUCAAAAGGUAAUCAAUAGUCAACCAAUAAAUAUACUCGAGUCGGUUUUCGUUAUGUUUUCCGGUAUGACCAUUAUGCUUGUCGUCGUUACUUUUCUCAAUUCACCAUAUUAUAUAUUUCGAUUGGUAGUGUCUUUAUCGAUUGAAGUGACGUCAAGCUCCGUGAGUGGAAACAUCUGAAUACAUUUGUUGGCACACUAUUAGUUAUUCACUUCUUUACAAAAUUUUGAUAGUGGUGAAAAAAUAAUACGAUAUCUUAAAAAAAAUUUAUACGAUGGCGUCAUAUACCAAAACUGUUAUGAAUUUAACAUGCACAAAAUAAAUUAUCAAGUCUGCUGAUUGCAGUUAACAUUAUACAGACUCCAAGAACCAAAAAAAAAACAGAUACUGCAAGCUUUGACUGGAAAGUGAAUUUUAAAGUUAAUAGUGUGCAUUGAUUAUUUAGUUUUAAUCAAAAAAAUUCAACCCAAAAUGUUUUUUUUUAACAUUUUCUUUGAUAAGAACACAAGUUGUCUCGGCAGUUGAGGAUCCCUUUAAAAUGCAGUUUGGUGAAAUGUUAUUAUUUUUUAAAAUAAAAAGCCACUCGUCGAGUUCUUUCUCAAUGCAGUCAUUAAACUUAUGAAGAAUUCAGGAAAAAUUUCUGUGGCAAAAACUUCAUAUAUCACUUCUUUUUUUUCUGAAGUUAUGUAAAAAUCAAUAAUUAAAAGUUGGAUGUCUUUAAAAUAAAUAUUAAAAAAAUAUUAAAAUCUGCUAGAUCAGAAGGUAAGGAGGAUGUUGCAACAAAUCGUCAGCCAAGAACCAAGAGGCCGUAUCUCAACUUUUUGUGAUUUGGAGCAAUUCGAUUUUUAAAUUUUAGGACACAAAUACUGACAGUUAAUUAUUUUGUAAAAUAUUUAUAUUUUCAAGUCUAAUAGUAAAUUAAGUCUUUUUUUUAUAAGAAGUAAUAAAAUUUUGUUUGAAAGAGUGGUUUUAAUCUAAAAAUGGUGCAAUCAGAACAGUUUCUCAGAAAGCGGUUUAUAUGAUUACUCUUGGGUGAUUAAUACAAAGGGGGGGGGGUUACACUUAAAGUUUUUAUUCUUAUUAGAACUGAUAUAUAUUUCUAUAACAAACGUCCUGUCCAGUGUUUAAAGCAUCUAAGAGGAAGUAGUGAUGGAAUUUAAAAAUUAGAAAUAAAUUACUUUUCCAGUGUCGGUGAGACACUAGUAAAUGCACUUUUAAUGCAGUUUUAAGAAGCCUAAAACAAAAAAAGGUUGCAAAAUACAAUUUUUUGUUCGUGAGAGUCUUUUAUGUUGAUACAAACGCUAUAAAAAUAAAAAAUAAUAAUAAAAAAUAAUAAAAACUAGU